UGGGGAAUAUUGCGCAAUGGGGGAAACCCUGACGCAGCGACGCCGCGUGCGGGAUGAAGGCUUUCGGGUCGUAAACCGCUUUCAGUAGGGAAGAAUAAUGACGGUACCUACACAAGAAGCCCCGGCUAACUACGUGCCAGCAGCCGCGGUAAUACGUAGGGGGCAAGCGUUAUCCGGAUUCAUUGGGCGUAAAGCGCGCGCAGGCGGCCUUUCAAGCGGCACCGUUCAAGCCAAGGGCUCAACCCUUGGAAGCGGGCCGAACUGGGAGGCUCGAGAGAGGUAGAGGAAGGCGGAAUUCCCGGUGUAGCGGUGGAAUGCGCAGAUAUCGGGAAGAACACCAACGGCGAAGGCAACCUUCUGGGCCUUAUCUGACGCUCAGGCGCGAAAGCUGGGGGAGCAAACAGG
rnacentral:rRNA from 1 species